GGGUUGUGAGGUUAAGCGACUAAGCGUACACGGUGGAUGCCCUGGCAGUCAGAGGCGAUGAAGGGCGUGCUAAUCUGCGAUAAGCGCCGGUAAGGUGAUAUGAACCGUUAUAACCGGCGAUACCCGAAUGGGGAAACCCAGUGUGAUUCGUCACACUAUCAUUAACUGAAUCCAUAGGUUAAUGAGGCGAACCGGGGGAACUGAAACAUCUAAGUACCCCGAGGAAAAGAAAUCAACCGAGAUUCCCCCAGUAGCGGCGAGCGAACGGGGAGGAGCCCAGAGCCUGAAUCAGCAUGUGUGUUAGUGGAAGCGUCUGGAAAGGCGCGCGAUACAGGGUGACAGCCCCGUACACAAAAGCGCAUAUGCUGUGAGCUCGAUGAGUAGGGCGGGACACGUGGUAUCCUGUCUGAAUAUGGGGGGACCAUCCUCCAAGGCUAAAUACUCCUGACUGACCGAUAGUGAACCAGUACCGUGAGGGAAAGGCGAAAAGAACCCCGGCGAGGGGAGUGAAAAAGAACCUGAAACCGUGUACGUACAAGCAGUGGGAGCCCCACCACUAAGCCAGUGGUGAACUCCACAUACGCAUCCUUUGCUGAGGAGACGGUUAACGGAGCGAAAGCGACGUUCAACCUCAAAAGAAGCAGAGGGGGCUUAGUGGUGGGGUGACUGCGUACCUUUUGUAUAAUGGGUCAGCGACUUAUAUUCUGUAGCAAGGUUAACUGUAUAGGGGAGCCGGAGGGAAACCGAGUCUUAACCGGGCGUUAAGUUGCAGGGUAUAGACCCGAAACCCGGUGAUCUAGCCAUGGGCAGGUUGAAGGUUGGGUAACACUAACUGGAGGACCGAACCGACUAAUGUUGAAAAAUUAGCGGAUGACCUGUGGCUGGGGGUGAAAGGCCAAUCAAACCGGGAGAUAGCUGGUUCUCCCCGAAAGCUAUUUAGGUAGCGCCUCGUGAAUUCAUCUCCGGGGGUAGAGCACUGUUUCGGCUAGGGGGCCAUCCCGGCUUACCAACCCGAUGCAAACUGCGAAUACCGGAGA
rnacentral:rRNA from 3 species